UCACACUGUCUCCUUCCCAUUUCCUAACAUAUCUGAAUGUAUUCUUAGGGAGCCAUUGCACCUGUUUCCCAGGCCAGUACCUGUGCCUGACUGACCCCCUUCCUAAAAGAUCUGUUGGAACCCAACUAUCCAAGGACUCUACUAAGACUCACGUCAGAAGCAGAGACUCUAUCUCUCAGCAUCCCACUUCAAUGAGAAUGCCAACCGGCCACAGUCAACAAGAGCUCUGGGAGGUCCUGCCCUUAAACUGGCCUUCCCUAAAGCAAAGAAAGGGGGAUACAGCCUCAAAUGAGGGAAAACUGAGCCGACAUUCUGCUAUGUGUUGUCCCUGACCCAGCACCUUUUACUGAAGAGCUGCAGAAGAUCACCAUUCCAGAGGAUCUCAGCGCUGAGCCAGUCAGAGCUCAGGUUCUUGUUAUUAUCAGACUACUUCUACUCCAGUUCAUAUCACUACUGAACAGGAGCUUCUGUCCCAGCUUUCUGCCUGUUAAAAGGAAGUUUCUCCUCGCCACUGUCACACCAAAUGCUUGCUCUUGGGGGAAUUGUUGGGUCUCUUUAAAUCAAACUGAAUUGAACAUUUGUAAGCUUCUGUUGCCAAUUGUUUCUCUGCUGUGGCCCUCACACGUCUUGGUGUUGGAAAACAGGAAUUCAACCUCGGGGGGCAUCCGCUCACAAUGUCCACAUGUGCACCUGUAGUAACAUGAAACAUCAACUGUGUUUAAUAGACACAUAUAAACGGUAGAAAUAUGAGUUUAAGUGUCACCAUAUGGGACCUUUAACACAUUACCAGAUCUAAUCUUCCCCUCUUUUCUUCUGGACCGACUCCGAGCUGAACUCUUCACAGCUUCUCCCCGCGAUGCCACAUCUGGUUGUUUCUAGCUGAAGCUCCUGCUGCUGUCUCCUAAUAUGUCUUACAGGCAGCUGGGACACUCACAUGAGAGGGGGAG